rnacentral:rRNA from 1 species
GAUGAACGCUAGCUACAGGCUUAACACAUGCAAGUCGAGGGGAAACGACAUCGAAAGCUUGCUUUUGAUGGGCGUCGACCGGCGCACGGGUGAGUAACGCGUAUCCAACCUGCCCACCACUUGGGGAUAACCUUGCGAAAGGAAGACUAAUACCCAAUGAUAUCUCUAGAAGACAUCUGAAAGGGAUUAAAGAUUUAUCGGUGAUGGAUGGGGAUGCGCCUGAUUAGCUUGUUGGCGGGGUAACGGCCCACCAAGGCGACGAUCAGUAGGGGUUCUGAGAGGAAGGGCCCCCACAUUGGAACUGAGACACGGUCCAAACUCCUACGGGAGGCAGCAGUGAGGAAUAUUGGUCAAUGGACGAGAGUCUGAACCGGCCAAGUAGCGUGCAGGAUGACGGCCCUAUGGGUUGUAAACUGCUUUUAUAAGGGAAUAAAGUGAGUCUCGUGAGACUUUUUGCAUGUACCUUAUGAAUAAGGACCGGCUAAUUCCGUGCCAGCAGCCGCGGUAA